AGCAAAUCGUGUCCAAGUAAUCGACAUAAGUGAUUCUUACAUUCAGAAAAUGAAAUUUCGCAGAGAAUAUACUCCACCAACAAAUUACAACGAUGACAGCAGAGCAUAUGGCGCGUACUUUGGCCAAGUUCCAAACAAAGAAUGACAUGCAAGAAGGGGUUCUCGAAACAAAACGAAGACUUUUAUUCAAAAACUAGUCUGAAUAAUCAUCUCUCUCUCUCUCUCUCUCUCUCUCUCUCUUUAGUUUUAAGAUGUAUGGAUAUAUAUUAUUAUUAAAAAGUUAAGGAUUU
rnacentral:misc_RNA from 1 species